rnacentral:rRNA from 1 species
GAUGAACGCUGGCGGCGUGCCUAAUACAUGCAAGUCGAGCGAACGGACGAGAAGCUUGCUUCUCUGAUGUUAGCGGCGGACGGGUGAGUAACACGUGGAUAACCUACCUAUAAGACUGGGAUAACUUCGGGAAACCGGAGCUAAUACCGGAUAAUAUUUUGAACCGCAUGGUUCAAAAGUGAAAGACGGUCGUGCUGUCACUUAUAGAUGGAUCCGCGCUGCAUUAGCUAGUUGGUAAGGUAACGGCUUACCAAGGCAACGAUGCAUAGCCGACCUGAGAGGGUGAUCGGCCACACUGGAACUGAGACACGGUCCAGACUCCUACGGGAGGCAGCAGUAGGGAAUCUUCCGCAAUGGGCGAAAGCCUGACGGAGCAACGCCGCGUGAGUGAUGAAGGUCUUCGGAUCGUAAAACUCUGUUAUUAGGGAAGAACAUAUGUGUAAGUAACUGUGCACAUCUUGACGGUACCUAAUCAGAAAGCCACGGCUAACUACGUG